rnacentral:rRNA from 1 species
GACGAACGCUGGCGGCGUGCUUAACACAUGCAAGUCGAACGCUGAAGCUUGGUGCUUGCACUGGGUGGAUGAGUGGCGAACGGGUGAGUAAUACGUGAGUAACCUGCCCUUGGCUCUGGGAUAAGCCUGGGAAACUGGGUCUAAUACUGGAUACGACAUGUCACCGCAUGGUGGUGUGUGGAAAGGGUUUUACUGGUUUUGGAUGGGCUCACGGCCUAUCAGCUUGUUGGUGGGGUAAUGGCUCACCAAGGCGACGACGGGUAGCCGGCCUGAGGGGGUGACCGGCCAAAAGGGGACGGGGAAAGGGCCCAGACUCCAACGGGGGGAAGGGGGGGGGAAUAGUGAAAAAUGGGCGGAAGCCUGAUGCAGGGACGCCGGGGGGGGGAGGACGGCCUUCGGGUGGUAAACCUUUUUAAGAAAGAAAGAAGCGAAAGUAAGGGUACGUGAAAAAGAAGCGCCGGCAAACUAGGU